UAGAAUGAUAUUAGGGUUUUGAUAACCGUUUUUUCUUAACGCACCGACAUGGGGUGUCGGGGGUCGGAGGUUCGAAUCCUCUCAUGCCGACCA
rnacentral:tRNA from 1 species